GACGAACCGUGCGAACGUUGCUCGGAUUCACUGGGCUUAAAGGGCGCGUAGGCGGACUCGCAAGUCUGUGGUGAAAGCCCCCAGCUCAACUGGGGAAGUGCCGUGGAUACUGCAAGUCUGGAGGAGGGUAGGGGCAUCUGGAACGCUGGGUGGAGCGGUGAAAUGCGUUGAUAUCCAGCGGAACUCCGGUGGCGAAGGCGAGGUGCUGGACCCUUUCUGACGCUGAGGCGCGAAAGCCAGGGGAGCAAACGGG
rnacentral:rRNA from 1 species